rnacentral:rRNA from 1 species
GGUUAAGCGACUAAGCGUACACGGUGGAUGCCCUGGCAGUCAGAGGCGAUGAAGGACGUGCUAAUCUGCGAAAAGCGUCGGUAAGGUGAUAUGAACCGUUACAGCCGGCGAUGUCCGAAUGGGGAAACCCAGUGUGAUUCGUCACACUAUCGUUAACUGAAUACAUAGGUUAACGAGGCGAACCGGGGGAACUGAAACAUCUAAGUACCCCGAGGAAAAGAAAUCAACCGAGAUUCCCCCAGUAGCGGCGAGCGAACGGGGAGCAGCCCAGAGUCUGAAUCAGCUUGUGUGUUAGUGGAACGGUCUGGAAAGUCCGACGGUACAGGGUGAUAGUCCCGUACACCAAAAUGCACAGGCUGUGAACUCGAAGAGUAGGGCGGGACACGUGGUAUCCUGUCUGAAUAUGGGGGGACCAUCCUCCAAGGCUAAAUACUCCUGACUGACCGAUAGUGAACCAGUACCGUGAGGGAAAGGCGAAAAGAACCCCGGCGAGGGGAGUGAAAAAGAACCUGAAACCGUGUACGUACAAGCAGUGGGAGCA